rnacentral:rRNA from 1 species
UACAGAGGCCCCAAGCGUUACUGAGAAUCACUGGGUUUAAAGGGUGCGUAGGUGGCGCGUUAAGUCCGUUGUGAAAUCCCUGGGCUCAACCCAGGAAAUGCUUCGGAUACUGGCGUGCUUGAGGCUAGUAGGGGUCACUGGAACUGACGGUGGAGCGGUGAAAUGCGUAGAUAUCGUCAGGAACGCCAAUGGUGAAGACAGGUGACUGGGCUAGAUUUGACACUGAGGCACGAAAGCGUGGGGAGCGAACGGG